rnacentral:rRNA from 1 species
CACGUAGGGGACGAGCGUUGUCCGGAAUCAUUGGGCGUAAAGCGCGCGUAGGCGGGCCGGAAAGUCGGAUGUGAAAUCCCGGGGCUCAACCCCGGGCCUGCAUCCGAUACUCCCGGGCUGGAGGCAGGUAGGGGAGAUCGGAAUUCCUGGUGUAGCGGUGAAAUGCGCAGAUAUCAGGAGGAACACCGGUGGCGAAGGCGGAUCUCUGGGCCUUGCCUGACGCUGAGGCGCGAAAGCUAGGGGAGCGAACAGG